CAAAGAGGACAAUAUUUGUUAGCGGUGGGCUUGGGCUGUUACAGAUGAUUCCGGGGAAUGUUAAUACAAUCUACAUUUUUUGGAUAUAAAAUACGAAGAAAAUAGUUCUGCACUUGCCUGAGACCUGGAGAAGGCCUUCAACUUUUCCAGAGAAAAGCCAGGGUUGGCAAAAAUGCAACUCAUAUAAGAUACUCCCAAGAGAUCAAGGUAAUCACUGUACAAUUUACUGAGGAAUGAUGCUGUUGCAGCAAACUGUAGUGGUGCUCCAUCAGCAGGCCUUAGGAGGAUCAGUCCACCUAUAUUCAUGAUUGAAAGAAUAGCUUAUUACUGGAAACAAACCUACACAUAUUAUUUCUGUGGAUGGUAAGUUUAUACGAUCUAUGAGAUCUGAACAGAUGUUUUACCAGGUGUCCUAAGUGUUGCUGAAUGAGAUAAGAACACAUGAGGAUCUCUGUCAUGUUUGACGAUGCUCGUAGGGCAUAUUCGUAUGGGUAGCCAAUGUCAUGAAAAUAGAGAAGGCGUGUCAAUAGUACCUAUUGAAAGAGUAGCAGUGUAAACCUUCCAUCUUUUAUUAGAAAUUCAAAUAAGACUUCAAUUCAAGUUACCGCUGUUGCACUGAACUUAUUGUUCCAAUCGAAAAUCCCUUGGUCAAUACUUGCUACCUCGGUCCAUGCUAACUGAAACCGGACAGCAUCAGUAGAAUAUGCAAGAUAUGAAGCGUUUCCGGUUGCAAAGAACAACCAAGUUCCUGCCCAUAUCAAUUCAUCCAUGAAACCUGAUGAGUUGUAGAAGUUUCUUGCUUCUCCUCCUCAUGAAUCAACUAAGCCAAUAACGCUGCGACAACCACUCCAGCGAGAUCUGAAGCCCGGGCAUCACACUCUGAAACAGGUCUCGUAUAUCUCAUAUCUUCUGGUCUUUGCCAACAGUUGUCAUUAUUUUAAGCCUUACUAUCGUUAGUGACAGAUCCUACCUAGCAACCAUGCAUUAGAGAUAAUGUUGAGUAAUAAACUGCACUGUGAAUAUCUUAAUUGUUCUUAUUGAGAGGUCAUAUGACUUACCUGAGAAUAUAUUAUGGUUUGAUCAAAA